rnacentral:rRNA from 1 species
CCCUUAGAUGUUCGGGGCCGCACGCGCGCUACACUGAAGGAAUCAGCACGUCUUUCUCCUUGUCCGAAAGGACUGGGUAACCCGCUGAACCUCCUUCGUGCUAGGGAUUGGGGCUUGUAAUUCUUCCCCAUGAACGAGGAAUUCCCAGUAAGCGCGAGUCAUAAGCUCGCGUUGAUUACGUCCCUGCCCUUUGUACACACCGCCCGUCGCUACUACCGAUUGGAUGGUUUAGUGAGAUCCUCGGAUUGGUCCCGGAGCGGCCUCUGGUCGUGCCGGAGUGCCGAAAAGAAUGUCGAACUUGAUCAUCUAGAGGAAGGAGAAGUCGUAACA